UACGUAGGGGGCGAGCGUUGUCCGGAUUUAUUGGGCGUAAAGAGCUCGUAGGCGGCUUGGCAAGUCGGGUGUGAAACCUCCAGGCUCAACCUGGAGACGCCACUCGAUACUGCCAUGGCUAGAGUCCGGUAGGGGACCACGGAAUUCCUGGUGUAGCGGUGAAAUGCGCAGAUAUCAGGAGGAACACCGGUGGCGAAGGCGGCGUUCUGGACUGCAACUGACACUGAGGAGCGAAAGCGUGGGGAGCAAACAGG
rnacentral:rRNA from 1 species